UACGUAGGUGGCAAGCGUUAUCCGGAUUUAUUGGGCGUAAAGAGAACGCAGGCGGUCUUUUAAGUCUGAUGUGAAAGCCUUCGGCUUAACCGGAGUAGUGCAUUGGAAACUGGGAGACUUGAGUGCAGAAGAGGAGAGUGGAACUCCAUGUGUAGCGGUGAAAUGCGUAGAUAUAUGGAAGAACACCAGUGGCGAAAGCAGCUCUCUGGUCUGUAACUGACGCUGAGGUUCGAAAGCGUGGGUAGCAAACAGG
rnacentral:rRNA from 1 species